CAGCAGGUUAGUACUAGGAGUUGGAAUAAGAUCCUGGAGCUCUUUAUGUGCACGUAGCAGAGUUAUGGCCAAAUAAGCUUUCUAAAGCGUAAGCAUUGCUGCUGCACCUCAGUGCUAGGUAUCAUCGGGUUGAAAACAAGACUUUGUUAUCUGGCCUGCUCAUGUGGCCUUGUUCCUGCUGCGCUCUGUGAGCGGCAGAAGGAACUUCUCAACAAGCAUGGAAGCGGUGAAGGUUGCGAUGGUGGGAGCUGGUGUCUGCAGCUCACGUGUGUCUGUCCAUAUCGUUGCAUUAGAUGGCUUGGCUGAUUUCACCAUCAAGGUACACGAUUUGGAAUAUCUUGGGCUUUGAAUUGGAAAUUUCAAGUCUGGUUUGUGGCUAUGACUGCUUUUUUUCCUGCCCUAUGAAAAUACACUGUAAAUGAAGAAUGUGUGAACGCAGGCUGUAUUUCAGCUAAGACAUGAGAUGUUUCUGGGGCUGGUCAUUUGCUUUAAUAUAGACAGGUCUUAGUCACAACUAACUUGAAUGUGAGCCCAAAACAGAACUGGCAGCAGGGAACCUGCUUCAUCACUGAGUUGCCAAAGGUCUGCGCCAAUCCCUGCGUCAUUCCAGGGCACUGUGGUGCUCUCAGCACUGGGAUAGGCUCCAGGAGCUGCUUGUCCAUGGUGCUAUUUCGAUGUAGUAAAUAGAAGCUUUCUGGGAAGGUUUGCAUUGGGUAUCCCUGUAAAAUCUGAUUAAUACUCUGACUUCUUUGGCAGUGAAGCUCUAGCCACCCAGCAUUCAUAUUCUCCCAGAAACCCUGUGCUGGCAUGUCCUAAGUGUUUGAGACCCAAAACAAACAAAGUGAACGCAGCUUGGCAACAUUCUUCAGCUAUUUGAUUGUCCAUGCUGCAGAGCGAUGCACCAAGUUGCAGAUGUAGUAACACUGGCAUCAAAAUCUUGCUGUCCAUUAGGGCAUCGUAUUCAAAAGAUUUGGGUUUUACAGCCAAUGCUGGUUGCUCCGUGGCAGCUCAGCCAUGUGAGGUGAGGGUUGGGUUGUCUACUUCCAAGCUACCAGGAGUAGUUGACGCCUCCUGCCUGGUGGGAACGUUGCCUCCUGUUCACAAGGACAAGCAACUGCGUGGUCAGGGUUUCGUCCAGAGAGUUCCACAGGUGAACUGAGCAGAGUGACUGUGUUCACCAUGGGAUGCAGCAUUCAUUGCAUCCACAGCAGUCUCGCAGCAAUGCUGUCUGCUAAAUUUGUACCUGUCGUUAAAAUCCAAAAGCUGCGAUUGUGAUGUGCUGGAGAAUUGAGUCUAUUCCCAGUACUCAGUCUUGCGGGAAUGGGAGUUAUGAAAAAAUCCUGCAAGUGAUCUUAUAAAGUAAUUUUGCCCAGUGCUUUAGAGGAAUAAAUAAACCAAACUACUCUAAAAGAAAAGUUCCCCAGUCCCGAGUGCAGCAGUUAUUUUAACUAUCUAUGAGUUUGACAUGCUCGUGUCCGUGUUAGGAGUUUAGUAUUUUUCUCAUGUCAGGAGUUUAAUAUUUUGUCUCCAGUAAUGACCCCUUUCUACCACAGGCUCCUUUUUGUAAGUGCAUCAAGCUUCUCUUGAAAACAAUUUAGAUGUCCUGCUCUGCUUUGGCUUCCAGAAGACAUCUUCAGGAUUUCAGUCAGUAGCUGGAAAUGUUCAAUGACCAGACCACACUGACAACUUUGUCACUGUUGAUCUUCUCUCACCUGUAGUCUUCAACAUACAUGCUGCUACUCCUUCCUUAAUGCCUAUUCAGAUGUGUUUCACAGCUUUACAGUACAGUAUUCCUGUCCUGCCAUAUGCCUUUGGCUAGGUUGAAAGCACCAACCGCUGCCACCCUUUCCAGGAAAUGGAUGCUCUGUUGCCAUUGAUAGGAAGUUACUUGCAGUGACUUUGGAAUACCCUUCAUCUCGAGUUCGCCUGCAGUUUUGCAUGUGGCAGAAAACGUGGGCAGCAGAACCAGGCUGAAUGCAGAGGGUGGGAGCAUCAUGAGCGAUGUCUUCAGCUGCUCCCUUUCCCCAGCUGCCUCCCAGGGGAGCAGCAGCAGCCUCAGCGCCAGAAGCAGACCAAAGCUGUGUUAGCAGGCACAGGGUUGGGGUCAGCCACGAACAGAGAUGAGCAUAGCAUCACUGAUUCUGGGAUGGUAUUAAACAGCGUCCUGGCAAAAGAUCAGGAGUCCUGCUCUAGUCGAGAGAUUUCAGUCUUAAACCAAGGCAUUACUGCAGGUCAGUUUUCUCUGGGUGGGGACUUGAUACAGGUGAUAAGCAGCAUUGGCUCUGUCUGUCGGCUGCACACAGACGGUUGUGAAUGUUGAUGGUUGUUUUAUUCAUGGUGCUCUGACACCUUGCAAGAGCUAUAACGGGUAGGGAGAUCCUGUGUUACUGUAUGGCACGCUCAAGUUUUUUUAUGCAGAACUGGUGCCUGAUUUCCUUUUUUAAGGAGCUCUGAGUGAGAAGGAGUUAAUGGGGAUGAGGACAAGGGAAGAAGAUAGCUGGGUCUGGGCUGGGGCUACUGACUGGUAUUUUUGCAACAGUCUUCUGUUACCCAGUGUGAGACUGUGGGGAUUAGCUGGGCAGACUCCCAGGCUCCUUCCGUACUGAAGACCUGCCUGCCCUCUGCACAGGGAUAGAACUCUUUCCCAAGGACUUUUAAAAGCCAAUGGACUGGAGGAAUUUUUGUUGAAACGUUACGGGGCUUAUUUCUUUAGCAGGAAAACUUUGUGUCUGCCCCUACUUGUGGGAUUUUGAAAGAACGAAAAAACUUGCAUAACCCCCAAAAGAAUCAUGUCUGGCAUAGUAACUUAUAAUAACAUGACUGAAAAGAAAAGUAAAGGGAUGAUCAGACAGAAAACUAGCAGUAGAUAAAAAUGGCAUUAAUCAUUUCUGAAAAUGAAAAUCUAUUCAGAGUAUCUGUUUGGACUUCAAAAACUUUAAGAACCAUGGUGCAGCUGAACAGCUUGGUAGCGUGCUCCUAUAACCAGGAGCUGAGAAGGGAACAUUUCCUGGGUAAAGCAGGGGUGACAGAUGCCGGGCUGAGCCAAAGGAAUGGGAAGAAAUUUUAAGGCAAAACAGUGAACUUGCAAGCUAGUUAGAAAGCUGAGUUGCUUUUGU